rnacentral:rRNA from 1 species
AUUGAACGCUGGCGGCAUGCCUUACACAUGCAAGUCGAACGGUAACAGGUUAAGCUGACGAGUGGCGAACGGGUGAGUAAUGUAUCGGAACGUGCCCAGUCGUGGGGUAUAACUGCUCGAAAGAGCAGCUAAUACCGCAUACGACCUGAGGGUGAAAGCGGGUGAUCGCAAGACCUCGCGCGAUUGGAGCGGCCGAUAUCAGAUUAGGUAGUUGGUGAGGUAAAGGCUCACCAAGCCGACGAUCUGUAGCUGGUCUGAGAGGACGACCAGCCACACUGGGACUGAGACACGGCCCAGACGCCUACGGGAGGCAGCAGUGGGGAAUUUUGGACAAUGGGCGCAAGCCUGAUCCAGCCAUGCCGCGUGCGGGAAGAAGGCCUUCGGGUUGUAAACCGCUUUUGUCAGGGAAGAAAAGGUUCUGGCUAAUACCUGGGACUCAUGACGGUACCUGAAGAAUAAGCACCGGCUAACUACGUG